CGGGCGGGGAAACUGCGGAGGGCAACCGUGCGCGGCGGAGGCGGAGCAAAUAUGCUCUCCCCGCUCGACCCUGCCGGCCGCCACGUGGGGCGCUGCGGAGACCAGUCGGCCCACAGCGCUGGGGCGCCUAGCCGGGGCGCCGGGCGACCGGACGCGUCGUCGCCGCUACCGGGGCCUCGGACUCCUUCGACCUCGUCGGCUGUCGCUUUUCUGUCGUACGCCCUGCGCCUUCACGCUUCGCUGUCAAUCCGAGCGCACUCCCAGCACCCCGCGCACACGGGUGCACGCACGCUCAGCGUGUUUUGCACGGUGUGUACACAUUUGACGUGCUCCAGCUGAAGGCCCCGACGCCGCCCGUGAAAGCUGCGGCCCAGGCAACCUCUGCCACGAGCUUCCCCUCCUCUCGGCUGGUCAUCCCUCCUCGCGCACGGAAGUGCGUCGGGGGAAGAAAAGCGCCUCCAUUCGGUAGGCAAACCGCCCGGCAGUUCACCAGAAAGGAAAACUUUCAGCACCACCCUGGGAGGGCUGAAUAAUAUUCUGUUGUCUGGAUGUACCAAAGUUUAUUUAUCCAUCUACCUACUGAAGGACAUCUUGGAUGCUUCCAAGUUUUGGCAAUAAAAAUAAGCUUCUGUAAACAUCCAGGUGCAAAUUUUUACAUGGACAUAAGUUUUCAACUCAUUUGGAUGAAUUCUAAGGACCAUAAUUUCUGGAUUGUAUGGAGUGAAGAAAGCUCUGGAAGGAAUGUGGAACAGUGAAAGAAGAGAAAAGCUUUACCUUGAUAGAAUCAGGACCACCAACGGACCUUUUCUGUCUCUAGCUUGGAACCUGGGAUCAGAAAGGUCAAGUAAAGCAAAUCAAACACCACAACAUACCUUCAGGAGAGCACACUGCAGGAAGUUCAGAGAGGAUAACUAAUGCAGCGGAAACCAACCUACUUCCAUCUUCUGACAGCAUCUGUGGCUUUGUAGCUUUUACUCCUGGGCUACCUGUCAAUUUAGGAUUUAGCUCUGGGAGCUGUCUAACUAGAAUGCAUACACACAAUUCCAGUGUUGCAAAGACCAAAGAUUUCCCAGGCACAAGUCCUCCUGUGUCCUUUCCCUCUCCAAAUUCUGGCAAGGUUUCCUUUUCAGCAGCCCCAUCAUCAACUAAAAGACAAAAAGAACAAUGUUGAAUAAAUGCUUCAGGUUUGUUUUGCUUCUGGUAGAUGGCAGUUUAGUUCAUUUCUGUUGUAGGUAACACAUUUAAAUGGGUGAAGUCUUGGGUCUUAAAGAAUGAAAGAGAAAGUUACGGAGGUAAAAGUAGUUGUCUUUAUGUGGACUUCUUAUUGCAAUGGAUCAAAAGAAAUCCUCGGUGACCUUCUCAGCCUUAAAAUAUUGUCUGGUUAACUCCUUGCUGUUAAGGUGUGAACCUGAUAGCUAGAGCUCCAGCACUGACCUUACCACCUUAAUAUUGGUAGUGGCUGGGCAGAAAGAUAGGAACUGAGGUCCCUGAUGUCUUUAAGAAGCUGCCAUCUCAGGCCAGGACUGCCAACUUCUGGACUUCUUUUAGAUGAGAGAAUAAGUCCUCGUGUUUUAAAUCUACUGUUAUAUUGGAUUUUCUGUUAUAGGUAGUCAAAUGUAAUCUUAAGUGAUAAACUCACCAAUACCAAAUUUGACUUGUAAAUGAACAAUUUAAUCACUUUGCAAAACUUAAGUUAUUAAAGAAUUGUCAGUAGUUCUUUCCAUGUACAUUGGUAAACACUUAAAAGUAGGUACUCAAUCAGUAUAAAGAAUUUUUUUUCCUUCCAGGGCUGUUAAAAUUCUAAUUUUCCCAAGGAAUAGUAGUUUAGCUACUGACAACAUCCAAGCUAACACGUCGAGGUGCAUGAGAGGAUUUGAAGCCAUACCUAGAGAUUUGUACCAUACACAAUAGAUUCUCAGAACGACAUAGACACAUAAGCAAUACUUAAAAAAAUAAUGAUGCCGUGUGAUUAAUUUGGCAUUAUAGGAACAUUCACCUUCUGCACUUCGUCUUUUCUCCUUCACAUGUUCUUGAGCUGCACAGAUAAUCUGCCUUACCACUUCAAGAGAAGCCAGCUGAAUGGAAGGUGAUUCUCGGGUCAAAAUUACUCGAUGUAGUACAUUCAACAACUCGAUACCCAAGUCCUAUCACAGAAAACAGGUUUUUUUGGCUACUAUGCAUGUGGGAUCUUAGCUCCCCAACCAGGGAUCAAACCUGCACCCCCUGCAUUGGAAGGCGAAGUCUUAACCACUGGAUCACCAGGGGAGGAAGCUGGGAGGCAAAUUCUGAAGGCAAAGUUAGGAGAGCAAAAUCCUGAAGCGCAGCAAGCCAGAGCCUACUUAAUGUGCCAAGAUCUGCGUGGACUAAGUCAAGCAGCCCGUCUGAUGAAAUCGACCCAUUUCCGACACUCUCUUCUGAACAGUGACAUCAGGUGGCGUCUCUGAGGUGAAGGCUGGUCUAAGUGCCGCUCCUACCUGGCAAGACAUUACAGGCUCAUUCAAGCAUCAAAAACAUAUCUUCCCGUUUUUAGCUAAGUGCAUCCAAGUUUUCCUUUGGGGAACUUUCUCUCUCCACAACUCUCAGCCCAUGUUGUUGCUAUGGAGUUGUGAGCACUGUCUGGCUCCAGGGACCCACACUGGGAUAAUGAAAGCUCUCCUGAGGACAUUUGCUAGGAGUACUAAGAAAGAAGCUCUCUCUUUAAAAGACUCUGGAUGCUAAGAGAGCCAUCUUGAUACCACUUGGAGAGGGCAAACUUGAGAAUAAAGCCAGUGCAGAAGAAAGCAGAGCCAACUACGGUUCCUGAAAACAAUUUUCCUUUUCUCUUAAGUGAGUGGUAAUUUUAUUUCUAUCACUUGCAAUUUUAAGAGCAUUACAAAUAUAACAGGGGCUUCCCUGGCAGCGCAGUGGUUGAGAAUCUGCCUGCCAGUGCAGGGGACAUGGGUUCGAGCCCUGGUCUGGGAGGAUCCCACAUGCUGCGGAGCAACUGGGCCCGUGAGCCAUGGCCGCUGAGCCUGCGCGUCCGGAGCCUGUGCUCCGCAACAAGAGAGGCCACGAUGAUGUGAUGAAGCCUGCUAACCAACUGGUGAACUGCUCUGGAUUCCCUAACUGCCAGCCAUCAGAAGCUGCCUUUGAAUCAUGAGAGGCUGCUUAAUGCACCAGUCAAAAAAACACCAGUUAAAAAGCUUACAGAGGGCUUCCCUGGUGGCGCAGUGGUUGAGAGUCCGCCUGCCGAUGCAGGGGACACGGGUUCGUGCCCCGGUCCGGGAAGAUCCCACAUGCCGUGGAGCAACUAAGCCUGUGCGCCACAACUACUGAGCCUGUGCUCUAGAGCCCAUGCGCCACAACUAAUGAAGCCUGUGCGCUCUAGGGCCAGCGUGCUGCAACUACUGAAGCCCGCGUGCCUAGAGCCCGUGCUCCGCGACAAGAGAAGCCACUGCAAUGAGAAGCCUGUGCACUGCAACGAAGAGUAGCCCCCGCUCGCAACAACCAGAGAAAGCCCGCGCACAGCAAUGAAGACCCAACGCAGCCAAAAAUAAAUAAAAUUUAAAAAAAAAGAACGAUGCCUAUUCCACAGGGUUAUUGUUAAAGAUUAACUUAGUAAAUGAAUGUUAAUUUUUUUAAAAAGCCCUUUAUUCCCCCAAAAUUACCAAAAAGGUUUUAAUUAUGAAAAUUAACCUUUAGUGUUAUAAAAGACCUGUUUUAUGUAUUAUUUUGCUUUUACAUGAAGAUUUCUUCUUUAAACAUAUACUGAUUAUACUGGUGAUAUAUUAGCAGAGAUACAUACUCAUUUACGUAUUAAAAGGUGACAUGCCAAUUAGUUUCACAGACUUUUAAUAAUAAUAAAAUUCUCUAGUAGAAAGAGCUUACAUUGGCUUGAUACUGUUCCAGAAUCACAUGACCUGGAAACUCUGGUUCUGGAAUAGUUGCAAAUCGCCGAAUAACAACUAACAGUGUUUCAAGGCCAGAAAGACGGAGCUGAUCACUGUGAUCUGUGGCAGCCAUAAAAGCCAUGCGAAUUAAGUCAGCAAGAUGUAGCACCAAAAAGUCAUCUGCAAUAUUAAAAAAAAUACUAAGAAAAAGAAUACGCUGGAACUAAGAUUUAUGUUAAGUGAUAAUUUUUCCUCCUUUUAAUUUCAUAACCUAGACUUUCUUUUAAGUACUUCUGAUUUGAUUUACAUUUUACUGUUUGUUAAAUACAGACUUUAAACUGGCUUUACUGCACCAGUGCAAAUACUCACAUACAAACAACUAUCCCAAAGCAAGUAAUUAUGCAGCUAUUCAAAAACAAAGGCAGAAUUAGCAUCCUUUAAAAGAGUACUAAUAGUACCUUCAAUAAAAAUUUUGUUCAGACUUUCUGAUAAAAGUACAUUAGAAGGUACUUAGGAGACUGGGUUUUGAUGAAUUAGGCAGUAAUUUAAUCAUCCUCUUUACAUCAAGUUGAGGCUAAAAGACUUAAUGUCCCUUUAAAAAAAGUUUUAUGUGGUUCUUUAUAUGGACUACAUUACCUUACUUUUUUGCAUGUCCUGCCACACACACAAAUGAUGGGAGCAUAAAAAUAUUUCUAGCUUUGAAAUUAUAAAUGAUAAUUCCUUUCACGCCUACAACAUAUUCUUUGGUAUAAUAAUUCUACUGGGGAGAGACAUAAGACAAUCAUUUAACACUGUUCCAACAAUAAAAUGUUUACAGGUACAACUAACCUUUACCUAAAAAAUAUGUGAGACUAAUUCAAAGAAGUGUACUAGUUAUAGGUCACACUGAAGAAACCAACUCAUCUUAGUAAGUGCCAAUUACAGUUUUAAUUGGGAGCACAGGAGUCAGUAAGCACGUAUAUCAGAAUAGUGCUCAUCACAAAUAAGAGACUCAAUAAAUGCUUGCUUGAAAAACAAUUAAAAUAGAAAUACUUAAUUCAUACUCUCAGACUGACCAUAACAACAUCUUGCCUUAUGAUUCUUUUGUCAGGUAAAGAAUAUUUCCAAGGCACUGAGACAUGAGCAUUGAGUCUUUGAACAUAUGUGCUUAAGUGAUUUUAAAAAAUUAGACAUUAAACCAUAACCCACACGCAUUUAGGUAAAAAUAAUAAAACUGAACAAUAAAAGGUCAAAAUGGUCUUACAACUCGGUUUACUUUACAUUGAGAUAGACUUAAAUAUUUUCUAGGUAAUAUCCUUGAAACCAAAAUAAUCUAUGAGCAAAACUGCUCUAAGUUACAAUUCAGAAAAUAAAAUUUAGAAAAUA